UGCAUGCUGGUGUAUGUCGGCUGCCGACAGUCGCGUCCUCGACGGCAUAUCUGAAAAGGACGACGAUUGGUCAGAGCAAAAGAAAAGGGCAGGAAAGAAAAUGAAGAUGUCGGGAGAGUGCCAACCAACCUAAACGAGGGACCGGGCUAAGGUCGGCGUCGUACAAGGCCUGCUCGGUGACGAGCUCGCUCUGCUUCGGCACCAAGAUAUCCUUUAGCCGAUGGAAGUCCUCCCGAUCAUCGGCCUCCACCCGACUGUUCUCAUUGGGAUCGGUUCGGGGAUUCCCCCAACGGACGGGAAAUCCCCAG
rnacentral:lncRNA from 1 species